rnacentral:rRNA from 1 species
GAAGGGGGCUAGCGUUGCUCGGAAUCACUGGGCGUAAAGCGCACGUAGGCGGAUUUCUAAGUCAGGGGUGAAAUCCUGGAGCUCAACUCCAGAACUGCCUUUGAUACUGGGAAUCUCGAGUCCGGGAGAGGUGAGUGGAACUGCGAGUGUAGAGGUGAAAUUCGUAGAUAUUCGCAGGAACACCAGCGGCGAAGGCGGGCUACUGGGCUGAUACUGACGCUGAUGCGCGAAAGCCAGGGGAGCGAACGGG